rnacentral:rRNA from 1 species
AGAUAAUCAUAGAAUACUACGUUAUUAAUAGUUAAAGAUUACUAAUAAUAUAUAUAUUUAUAUAUAUAUUUAAGAUCUAAGGUAAACCAAUAAAUGAAUACUAAGUGAAUUGAAACAUCUUAUUAACUUAAGGAAUAAAAAUCAACAGAGAUAUUAUGAGUAUUGGUGAGAGAAAAUAAUAUAGUCAUUAAGGUAAUUAUUAUGUAGUAAAAUAUGUAAGAAUAUAGGACUAACAAGUUCUAAGACUAAAUACUAUUAAUAAACAAAAAUAGUACCGUAAGGGAAAGUAUGAAAAUGGUUAUUUUAUAAGCAAUUAUAUAUAUUAAAUAUAAUAUAAAUAAUGUACCUUUUGUAUAAUGGGUCAGCAAGUAAUUAAUAAUUAGCAAAAAUAUAUAUAAUUAUUUAAAUAUAAAUAGAUAUAGUUAAUAUUAAUUGACCCGAAAUCAUACGAUCUUAUCAUAAUAAGAUAUUAUUAAAAAUGAUCGAAUAGGUUGAUGUUGCAAUAUCAUCUAAAUAAUUAUGAUAAGUAAGUGAAAGACAAAUCUGGUAUGAAGAUAGCUGGUUUUCUACGAAAUAUAUGUUAGUAUAGCAUUUAUUAUAUAAUUUAAAUAUCUAUUUAUAUAGAUAUUGAGAUCGGUACAGCAAUUAAUAUAUUUUAAGGGAUUAUUAUAUAAUUUUAUUAAAAAUAUUUAAUCUCGGAAUUGAUAAAUUAUAAAAAUAAAUAGUCAGAUUAUAUGCGAUAAGGUAAAUAAUCAAGAGGGAAACAGCCCAUAUUAAUAUAUAAAGUUCUUAAUUAUUAUUUAAGUGAAAUAAAUAUUGAAAUAUUAUAAUACAAUCAGUUAAUAGGUUUGACAAUAAUCACUUUUUAAUGAACAUGUAACAAUGCACUGAUCUAUAUAUAAUAUUUACAAUAAAUAAUAUACGGAUCUAAAAUAAAAACUGAAUAUUUAAAUAUAAUUAUUAUUAUUAUAAUAAUUAUAUGGUAGUAGAACAUUUAAUGAUAAUAUAUAUUAAUUAUUAAUUAAUAUAUAAUAAAUAUAUAAUAAAUAUAUAUUUAAUAAAAUAAUUAAAUAGAGAAUGCUGACAUGAGUAACGAAAAAAAGGUAUAAACCUUUUCACCUAAAACAUAAGGUUUUACUAUAAAAGUACGGUCCUUAAUUAAUAUAUAUAAAAAUAUAUAUAAAAUAGGAAAAAUCUAAUAAUAAAUAAAAUUCUUUAAAGAUAUAUAAAGAAUCAAGAAAUAAUUUAUUAAAAAAUACCGUAAUGUAGACCGACUCAGGUAUGUUAGUAGAGAAUAUGAAGGUGAAUUAGAGAAUUAAUGGGAAGGAACUCGGCAAAAACAGCUCCUAAGUUAGUCAAUAAAGAGAAAAAAGAACAAAGUUGUACAACUGUUUACUAAAAACACAGCACUUUGCAAAAAUGUGAAUUAUUGUAUAAGGUGUGAACUCUGCUCCAUGUUUAAUAGAUAAAAUAUAUUAUUAAUAUGAUAAUUUAUUUAAAUUUAGAUAAAUAGCAGCCUUAUUAUGAGGGUUAUAAUGUAGCGAAAUUCCUUGGCCACUAAUUAUGGUCCCGCAUGAAUGACGUAAUGAUACAACAACUGUCUCCCCAUUAAACUAAGUGAAAUUGAAAUCGUAGUGAAGAUGCUAUGUACCUAUAGUGUGACGGAAAGACCCUAUGCAGCUUUACUAUAAUUAGAAAGAUCGGGUUGAUGUAUAUAUUAUUCAGUUAACAAUAUUUAUUAUAAAUAUUAUAUUAAUUAAUUUUAAUAUUAAUAUUUAUUUUAUAAAUAUUUAUUAAGUAAUAGAUUAUAUAAUAGUGAGAUACUUAUUUUUAUAUACGUUAACUCUAAUUUUUUUUAUAUAAAAUUGAUAUAUAUAUUCUUUUAUAUAGUAUAUUAAUAUGAUAUUUAAAUAUAUAUUAAUAUAUAUAUUAUAUAUAAUAUUUUAUUAUAUAUAUAUAUAUAUAUACUUAAUAAUAUAUAUUAAAUAUAUAUAUUUUUUUAUUAAUAAUUAUUUUAAUAAUUAUAUAUAUAUUUUAUUAUAUUAAUAUAUCUAAAGAGACAAUCUCUAAUUGGUAGUUUGGAUGGGGCGUCAUUAUCAUCAAAAAUAUCUGAAUAAGUCCAUAUAUAAAUAUAUAAUAUUAUUAAUUAAUUUAAAAUAUAUAUUAUAUAUAUUAAUUAUAAAUCAGAAUAUUUAAAUAUAAUAAUAAUAAAAUUAUUAUAGAUAUAUAUUCUAGUAAUAGAUAAAAGUAUGUAUAGUUAAAUUAUCAGGAAAAUAAUAAUAAUAAAAAUUAUAAAUAAAAUAUAAUAGUAUAACUAUGCUAUAAUUAUAAUACAAACAAGUAGAAUAAGUACGUAAGUAUGGUAUAAUGAACAAAUAACACUGAUUGUAAAGGUUAUUGAUAACGAAUAAAAGUUACGCUAGGGAUAACAGGGUAAUAUUACGAAAGAGUAGAAAUUGUAAGUAAUGUUUGCCACCUCGAUGUCGACUCAACAUAUCCUCUUGGUUGUAUUCGCUAAGAAGGGUUUGACUGUUCGUCAAUUAAAAUGUUACGUGAGUUGGGUUAAAUACGAUGUGAGUCAGUAUGGUUCCUAUCUACUAUAGGGAAUAUUAUCAAAUAAAAUCUUAUUCUUAGUACGCAAGGACCAGAAUAAAUUAAUCCAUGGUGAAUCUAUUGAUUAAUAUAAUUAUUUAUUCUUUAAAUAAUUCUUAAUUUUAUAUUUAUUAUAUAAUAAUAAUCACAGUAGAGAAGCUAAAUUAAUAAAUAAUAAAUAUUGAAAGCAUAUCAAAUAUGAAGUAGUUUUUAUAAGAUAAUUUAUUGAUUAUUUUU